UCGAAUUUGUUGCUCCUGAGAGCAUCAGAGAGGUGGUGAAGGAACUCUUCUUUGUAAAGUCCAUUGUAUGCCUCACGAAUUUGCUUUAGUUCUUGAGAGCUUCUACUUGCAAGGAUCUCCAUAACUUUUUGCCUAUUGCCCGCUACAUGACCUACGUAGCUUACCCAUCAGUUUUCUCUUUGAAGAAAACUCAGUAUGAAUAGGGAAUGGGGUUGGUGAAUUCGCAGUUAAGGUGGCGGAUGCUUCAACAUAACAUAUCAAAGAAGAAAAAUUCACUAUUUAUAUAUUGCGAUGAUGAUAAAGUUUUCAAUGUUGAUAAUGGAAGAAAUCCAUAAUUUAGCCAAUGUCGACUAGAAGAAAAAAAUAAAAUAUUACCUCGAUGGUAGGAUUGAAGAAAUUGGCAAUCCAGAUGAUCUUUGUGAUUGAGUUGUGGUUUGGCCAUUGUGUGAGAUAGUGUUUCCUGUGGCAACCUUUGUUGCUUUCACAUGAUGACUUACGUGGUUAGAGUGAGUGAGAUGGUUCUCUUUAUAGGUUGAACUGACAUGUUCCUUUCUUAGGAAUAUAACUUUUGCAAAGUUC
rnacentral:lncRNA from 1 species